GGACAGCUAUUCUUCUACAUGAUCUGACGAUUAUGUUCCUUGCCCAGUUUUCUGCUCUUUUUACCAUCGAACAGCCUGGAGCUCCAUGAAUCAUAAGCAACAGCAAUUCAGGAUCCCAAAUCAUUUUGCAAGCUAUUUGCAAGAAUCGCUUUAUCCACUAGUGAAAUGAGACCAACUCUGUGGGAAAACAUACAAUCUGUUUAGCAGCAG